CCUACGGGUGGCAGCAGUGAGGAAUAUUGGUCAAUGGACGAGAGUCUGAACCAGCCAAGUAGCGUGAAGGAUGACUGCCCUAUGGGUUGUAAACUUCUUUUAUAUGGGAAUAAAACGUUCCACGUGUGGGAUUUUGUAUGUACCAUAUGAAUACGGAUCGGCUAACUCCGUGCCAGCAGCCGCGGUAAUACGGAGGAUCCGAGCGUUAUCCGGAUUUAUUGGGUUUAAAGGGAGCGUAGGUGGCUUGUUAAGUCAGUUGUGAAAGUUUGCGGCUCAACCGUAAAAGUGCAGUUGAAACUGGCAGUCUUGAGUACAGUAGAGGUGGGCGGAAUUCGUGGUGUAGCGGUGAAAUGCUUAGAUAUCACGAAGAACUCCGAUUGCGAAGGCAGUUCACUGGACUGCAACUGACACUGAGGCUCGAAAGUGUGGGUAUCAAACAGGAUUAGAUACCCGGGUAGUC
rnacentral:rRNA from 1 species